ACUGCUCAGUAACACGUGGACAACCUGCCCUUAGGUUGGGUAUAAACCCGGGAAACUGGGUAUAAUACCCGAUAGGUCUCGAUUGCUGGAAUGCAUCGAGAUUUAAAGCUCCGGCGCCUAAGGAUGGGUCUGCGGCCUAUCAGGUAGUAGUGGGUGUAGCGUACCUACUAGCCUACGACGGGUACGGGUUGUGAGAGCAAGAGCCCGGAGAUGGAUUCUGAGACACGAAUCCAGGCCCUACGGGGUGCAGCAGGCGCGAAAACUUUACAAUGCUGGCAACAGCGAUAAGGGAACCUCGAGUGCCAGGUUACAAAUCUGGCUGUCGAGAUGCCUAAAAAGCAUUUCAUAGCAAGGGCCGGGCAGGACCGGUGCCAGCCGCCGCGGUAACACCGGCGGCUCGAGUGGUAACCGUUAUUAUUGGGUCUAAAGGGUCUGUAGCCGGCCGGAUAAGUCUCUUGAGAAAUCUGGCAGCUUAACUGUCAGGCUUUCAGGAGAUACUGUCUGGCUCGAGGCCGGGAGAGGUGAGAGGUACUUCAGGGGUAGGGGUGAAAUCUUGUAAUCCUUGAAGGACCACCAGUGGCGAAGGCGUCUCACCAGAACGGACCUGACGGCAAGGGACGAAAGCUAGGGGCACGAACCGGAUUAGAUACCCGGGUAGUCCUAGCCGUAAACGAUACUCGCUAGGUGUCGGCCACGGUGCGACCGUUGUCGGUGCCGUAGGGAAGCCGUGAAGCGAGCCACCUGGGAAGUACGGCCGCAAGGCUGAAACUUAAAGGAAUUGGCGGGGGAGCAC
rnacentral:rRNA from 1 species